AUACAACUGACUAGGUAUCCCCCUUUCCCUUUACAACUGACUAGGUAUCCCGUUUCCCUUUACAACUGACUAGGUAUCCCCCUUUCCCUAUACAACUGACUAGGUAUCCCCUUUCCCUAUUCAACUGACUAGGUAUCCCCCUUUCCCUGUACAACUGACUAGGUAUCCCGUUUCCCUUUACAACUGACUAGGUAUCCCCCGUUCCCUAUUCAACUGACUAGGUAUCCCGUUUCCCUAUACAACUGACUAGGUAUCCCUCUUUCCCUAUACAACUGACUAGGUAUCCCCCUUUCCCUGUACAACUGACUAGGUAUCCCCCUUUCCCUAUACAACUGACUAGGUAUCCCGUUUCCCUUUCCUUGUUUGUGAAAAGGGGUGUGUCUUCUGGGGGUGUGUGUGCUGCUAGUUUAGUUCAGGUCUAUAUACUCUUAUUUUGUUACUUUAGUGAAGUUUGACUGUGGUAACAUUUUACUGCAUACCGUCAUACAAACAAGCCCUUACAUUCUUUACUCAACAGGUGUAUUUUAUUCCCAAUUUACUAUAAAAACAACUUUAAUCUCAUUAAGAAUCAGAUGUUAUUUUAUAUUUUACAUUUUCUGGAUAGUUUGUGUUACAGUGCCAUUUAGAAAACAAGUUGCCAUUUAGGCCUAUGGUUUUAUAAAUAAAAUAUGACAAACUUUAUAGGCUACACCUGGUCAGUUCAAAUAAACUGAGAAUGGUUGUUGUUUAACAACAUGUCGAGGUAAUC
rnacentral:lncRNA from 1 species